UACGUAGGGUGCGAGCGUUACUCGGAAUUACUGGGCGUAAAGUGUGCGCAGGCGGCUGCGCAAGUCGAGUGUGAAAGCCCCGGGCUUAACUUGGGAAUUGCGCUCGAAACUACUUGGCUUGAGUGUGGCAGAGGAAGGUGGAAUUCCACGUGUAGCGGUGAAAUGCGUAGAGAUGUGGAGGAACACCGAUGGCGAAGGCAGCCUUCUGGGCCAACACUGACGCUCAUGCACGAAAGCGUGGGGAGCAAACAGG
rnacentral:rRNA from 1 species